GCAGCAUCAGUCUUCCUCAGUGCUGGGUGCAGCGCUAGUUCCAAGUGGCAGCAGCAACCUCACAUCAUCUGGCACACAGAUCCAGUGGCUCAUACCCCAGGAGAGGUCCAGCACACCCCCACAGCCCUCCCGGGGGUGCGGGCCCCUGGAUCUGAACUCCAGAUGCCACUGCAGGCAAGUGUCACAAGUUUGGCCUUUUCCAAUUUGAGGUGUGAUUUCCAAGAAACCUCUGCACCUAUCUCCUUGAAACUUGACAGUCUUUGUGCCCUCAGAAGGGGCUACCAUCCCUACAAUUUUCAUCCAAAUCAGGCAGGAAAUUACAACCAUUUAGGCAUUUUCAUGAUUCCCCGUUAUAAUCUAUGGGCGAACCAUCAAAAAGCAUUGAAACAACAAAACAGUUUUGACAAAAUGAAACGGGACAGUGCUUCAAAAUGAAACAACGAAACAAAACACUGUCCCUUUGAAACAGUGAAACAGACAUCGAAAUGAAAUGAUGGUUUUUCACACAGCCCUAAUGUUCACCCUUCCAGCCCUGUGGGUUGGAUAGGUGAUGCAGAGCAGGUCUGCAGGCCAGAUCUAGUAUGCAGCCAGCACCCAGGAUUGGUUCAUGGGUACAGUCUGCCACACCAGAUCCAGCCACAGGGCAACCCCAUUCACUGGGUUCCAGCCUCGCUCUGUGCACUGUAUCUGGAAGCUGUGGCAAUUAAUGCUGCCACUGCUCCCCUGUCACUAAAUUUCUAAACCCAUAGGGAGCCCCACAGGAUGGUUUUGGCUCACCGACCAGAGGUUGAGCCCUGUUCCAACUGAAUGUAAGAAACACAGAUCCAGAAAGUCUAACCAAGCUCAGUGCAGGAAGGGAUAAGGAUGUAGAAAAGUGGAAGAGAAGUUGUAGUAGAGGAACAGGCAUAUAUCUGAAACGUUCAUAUUUUAAAAGAGUAUUCAUGCCCUUGAAAAUGCUACUCAUGAAGAAACCAUUUCUUCAGGAGUAAGGUAAAAUGGUAGGUUUGGGGAGGGCAGGGGGAGAGAGGGUUAAUUAUUAAAAAGUAAAUGCUGGUGGUAAAGGAGACAACUUUUUCAGAUUUUGUAACAGCCGUCUACAUUAGAAAAUAGCUACUGCAGUGUUGGAAACCUCUGCUUUGUGACUGAAAAUACUAGAGAAAACUUAAAUGACAUAUGAUAUCUGAAGUCAGUUUUGUUUUCAUUCUAUGAAAUUCUUAGACCUUUUUUAAAUUAGCUGUCCCCUUUGGAAAAUUGGUUGGUAAUACAGUUACAUGCAUAACUGGGGGAAAAAUGAAGUCAUAGGCACUUUUAGUUACUACUGUGUUUGCACAUAAAUAAAUAUCUUAUUUUUGCAGCAAUACAUUACCAAAACAGCUAACCCCAAUGGUAGGACUUUCAGUGAAAGGAGCCUUGUACCAAGUGCCUUUUAUGGUGUGUUCUCCCCUGAGGCUUGUAACAAAUAUGUUGUGCAAGUUGAAUCAAGCCACAGUGGUUUGUGCAGAGAAGCAUGUGCAGUUCUAAUUUAGGUUUAUGCACUUCCUUAUCAUUUAGGAGUUGUAAAAACACAUUCCACGUUUCACUUUUUUUCUAGAACCAUUGUACAUGCUUUUAAUUUUUAAAAAAAUAGAUUGGAUUUGAGUAUCAUUUUCAAAAUGUUUAUCUCUCGUACAGGGAGCAAUUGCUGCCUGCAUACUGGGAGCGGUCAGCAAUGUUUUCCGGCAUCAGACCAGAAUAACCCAGUCUGGGUUUGAGGCAGGCCCAUGCUAAGACCUGACUGACACUCCUACAGCACCCUGCUGCCAAAUCCCCAACUUCCUCGCUGUGGCAUGGGCAAAGCCUUCUCCGCAGGCUGUAUCCAUUGGCUCUGCAGGCCUGAUCUGUCCCAUAGACGUUAGGUUGCCAACCCCUGUGCAGACAGGCUGCAAAUUCAGUAUUGUACUGCAAGCUACUUUCAACCACAACAAACAAACAGAAAGCAGCAGCUAAAAGGCGGCUUUGAAGUUUUUCCAAUGGAUCUUUUCUCUUUUCUAUCUGAUACAUCUUCAGGACAGGAUAUUGUAACAGGACUGUCCAACUUCAGUGUGGCUGGGGGCUGCAGGCAAAGCCAGGGCCUAAACGUGGCACCUCACAUACUACUUGAGGCACGCACUGGCGUGCAGUCCCCAGGAUCCUGCCCCUGCUAGUUAAACUGGCAUGUACCCCCUUUUCUCACCACUCCACCAGCAGCACAUGGCCCCAGUUGAACACCCCUGUAUUAUAAUAAAGAAAGUUGCAUUGU